UACGAAGGGGGCUAGCGUUGCUCGGAAUUACUGGGCGUAAAGGGCGCGUAGGCGGAUACUUAAGUUAGAGGUGAAAGCCCACGGCUCAACCGUGGAGGGUCAUUGGAAACUGGGGGACUUGAGUGCAGAAGAGGAUAGUGGAAUUCCAAGUGUAGCGGUGAAAUGCGUAGAGAUUUGGAGGAACACCAGUGGCGAAGGCGACUAUCUGGUCUGUAACUGACACUGAGGCGCGAAAGCGUGGGGAGCAAACAGG
rnacentral:rRNA from 1 species